UGGACGAUAAAGGAGGAGAUAUUAAUGGAGACACACCCCCAUCUCCUCUGGAGAAGUAACAACAACAACAAUAAACAACAAACAAGUAAACAAACAAGAGGAGGCGGAGACAGUAAUACAGGACAAGUUAAAGUAGAUUUUGUUGUCUGAGUAUUUCCCGUUAAAGUUACUGGCUAGUCUUGAUGAGCAGUUUGGACGUCCCAAGUGGGUGGUACCAGUACGAGCUAAUUAUGAACUGGAAACAUUAAUUAAAGCAUCAAUUAAACUAGCGAAA